AUAAUCAAUUAUUUUUUUUUUUUAUUUAUUUUUUUUUUUUAUUUAAACAAAGUUGUAUGUUUUAAAACUAUAGACAUACAUUAUGUUUAAGAUCUACUUCAGUGUUCACAGGUACAUUCAGAGAAGGCAAAGAGCCUCAUGUUUCAUUGUAUGCAGACACUCUCAUUAUAUAUGUUCAAGUUCUAAAAAUGAUUUUUUUGGGAUAUUUACAUAAUAUAAAUUUUUACUAAACUAAAUGUUUUCCCAUAACCAACAACAACAAUGACAACAAAAAUUCCAUUGUGUAUACUUCCUCUGAAAUCCUUUCUCUUUCUCGUCCUCUUUUUUUGAUUUUUUUAAACAAACAAACAAACAUGUAGUGAUAUGAGUUUUAAUUGGUGUACACAUUUGUAAUAGAUUAUUUUAAAUGAAUCAAUGUUUGAACUCCAAAUAAACAGUAAAAAGAAACAGUAUGAUGAAAAUAAGCAUCAAAAGCAUUUUGCCAUGUCAUGACGAAAGGUUAAACAAACACUACUUGCCCAUUUGCCUGCUCAUCUAGUCCAACAACUUCCUGGAGUUUCUCCUCCCAACAAAGUGUCAUUAAAUAUUACCUUUGAGUCUCACAGCAACUAAACAAUCUGUCGAGAUCAAAACAAGAGACAGGACCUGUGAGGCAGAUUUUUAUGGAUUGAGCCCAGAUCUGAAAAAAAAGGCAAUUUUUUGUUAUAGAUAAAUGCCAGCUGUUUGAUAAUUGAUUUUUGAAAACUAUUCGAAAGGCAAUUUGUUUAUUUAUUUAUGUUUUGUUUUGUUUUCAUUCUCUUUAAUUUUUCUCUGUAGGUUAGAAUGAGGAUUUUAUUGGAAGCUCUGCAGUUUUGUGCCACUUUUUUCAGUGACAAUAAACUGAAUUCAAGACAUGACAUUGUAUUAAAGACUCAAUGACAGCAGGAAUUUAUAAGAAAUCAGUUGAGGAUCAGGAUCCAGAAUACAAUGAUUUCAAGAGGAGUUUACGAAUCACAUACUCAUAUGCUGCUUCAUCUGUGUAUUUGCAGUGCUGAUUAAUAAAGUGUCUCUGGAGGUCACAGUAGAGGCUGUUAUUGGUGGAUUUGUUGUCCUACCAUGUUCUUCAACUAAACAUCAUCUUAAGCCUCAAGACAUUGAAGUGUUUUGGAGACACAAUGACAGCAAGAUUGUGUUUGAUAUAAUCAAGGGUAAACAUUCAGAGACACAAGACCCACAGUACAAGAACAGAGUUGAACCUUUCACAAAUCUGAGACGAAACUACUCUAUCAAGCUGACUGAUCUCACUCAAGCUGAUGCAGGGAAAUACAUCUGCUACAUCACACCUUCAAAUGAACAAGAGACUGUACAGAUGAUCAUCAAGGAAUCAACAGCAGAAACAGGAAACAAAUCCAGUGAUCAAGAAAACCAAGGAGAAGAUUCUGGAGCAGACAAUGUGGGGAAAUCAGGGCCUUUGCUCUGGGUUUGCAUUGUAGUACCUGUAGUAUUAUUUCUUUAUUAAAUCCAUUUUAAUCAUAUUUUGCUUGAGAAAAAAAAAAACUCGAGCUGCCUCAUUCUCUUCUGUUUCAACUGAAGAACAAACAACAGUGCCAUAAAUGACAAUUAGGUCUAAACGUUUGCAUUUCACUUGUCUUAUUAUGUUUUACUUUUAGCUGAAUUAUUAAACCUUGGCACCCUUUGGUGCAGUUUUGUGCUGUAUUUUGCCACAUGAAUUGUAAUGCCACAAAAUGAGACCUUCAAAACUAAAUAAGGACCAUGUUUUUGCUGGAGCUUAAAGGGAUAGUUCUUCCAAAAAUGAAAAUUCUGUCAUUAAUUACUCACCCUCAUGUUGUUCCAAACCUGUAAGACCUUCGUUCAUCUUCAGAACACAAAUUAAGAUUUUUGAUGAAAUCUGAGAGCUUUCUGACCCUGCAUAUAGACAGCAACACAACUGAUAUGUUCAAGACCCAGAAAGGUAGUAAGGACAUUGUUAAAUUAGUCCAUGACAUCAGUGGUUCAGCCGUAAUUUUAUGAAGCUUUCUGCGCAAAGAAAACAAAAAUAACAACUUUAUUCAACAAUUUAUUCUCUUUCAUUUUGGGUGAACUAUGCCUUUGAAAAAGUAUUUGUCAGUAUGCUGCUGCCUGAGAUAAUUCUGUACCACAAGUGUUCUUCCUUACGGAAGUUCCAAGUGGCCAUGCAUUAUUAUUUUUUUCCUUCUUGUUUUCUAGUGAUCACAACUUAAUUUUCUCGUGAUCUCGACAUAACAAAAGUUGUUUUCUCUGAUCACGACUUAUUUUGCUCAUGAUCGCGACAUAACAAAUGUUGUUUUCUCGUUAUCACGACUUAAUUUUCUCGUGAUUUCAACAUUACUAUUGCUAUAGUAACGAAAGCAACCUUGACAGGAACAUUGUAAAAUACUUAACCUGGCUUAAUGUGUUAAUUGAGAGUGUUUUUAAAAGACAAAACUCAGUAUACAUAGUAAUUCAUACAGACAAGAAGAUGAGCCCAUAAUAAGAAUGCAAUUCGUUUAAUUCCGCAUUAAGCGUUGGCUUAAGGCAGUGUUUUUAAAAGACCAAACUCAGUAAACACAUCAUUAAUAAAGCAUUGCAUGUACACAAAUAAGUCCAUAACAAGAACGCAAUGCAUUUUGCCAAUGUCAAAUUUAUUUAUUUUCUUUUUUAUUUUUAAUGAAUCAUUUCAUGUUUAUGUUAAGAUUAGAACUACACAUUAUUUAACAGAUAUCAUUUGUUAAUUCCUGAAAGCACAUAGAUUAAAUUAUGCCUGUAUAUGCACAGUGUGCAGAAGAUGAA